UUCACGUUAGAAUAAAGAAAGUUCGCGGGUUGAAUGCCUGAAGUGUUGGUUCGAGUCCAAUUCGUGAGA
rnacentral:tRNA from 1 species